rnacentral:rRNA from 1 species
CACGUAGGCACCAAGCGUUGUCCGGAUUUAUUGGGCGUAAAGAGCUCGUAGGCGGUUCAGUAAGUCGGGUGUGAAAACUCUGGGCUUAACCCAGAGCCGCCACUCGAUACUGCUGUGACUUGAGUUCGGUAGGGGAGCGGGGAAUUCCUAGUGUAGCGGUGAAAUGCGCAGAUAUUAGGAGGAACACCGGUGGCGAAGGCGCCGCUCUGGGCCGAUACGUGACGCUGAGGAGCGAAAGCGUGGGUAGCAAACAGGA